rnacentral:rRNA from 1 species
GACAGAGGGUGCAAACGUUGCUCGGAAUUACUGGGCGUAAAGCGCGUGUAGGCGGUUCCGCAAGUCAGGUGUGAAAGCCCAGGGCUCAACCCUGGAAGUGCACUUGAUACUACGGAGCUUGAGUACUGAAGAGGAGAGCGGAAUUCCCGGUGUAGAGGUGAAAUUCGUAGAUAUCGGGAGGAACACCAGUGGCGAAGGCGGCUCUCUGGGCAGAUACUGACGCUGAGACG